rnacentral:rRNA from 2 species
GGGUUGUGAGGUUAAGCGACUAAGCGUACACGGUGGAUGCCCUGGCAGUCAGAGGCGAUGAAGGGCGUGCUAAUCUGCGAUAAGCGCCGGUAAGGUGAUAUGAACCGUUAUAACCGGCGAUACCCGAAUGGGGAAACCCAGUGUGAUUCGU